UACGAAGGGGGGCUAGCGUUGUUCGGAAUCACUGGGCGUAAAGCGCACGUAGGCGGAUCUUUAAGUCAGGGGUGAAAUCCCGAGGCUCAACCUCGGAACUGCCUUUGAUACUGGGGAUCUCGAGUCCGGGAGAGGUGAGUGGAACUGCGAGUGUAGAGGUGAAAUUCGUAGAUAUUCGCAAGAACACCAGUGGCGAAGGCGGCUCACUGGCCCGGAACUGACGCUGAGGUGCGAAAGCGUGGGGAGCAAACAGG
rnacentral:rRNA from 1 species